rnacentral:piRNA from 1 species
UGAAGAAGUAGCCGUGGAGCCGG